GUCACCACCGUCGAAUUUCUACAACUAUUAAACCAUUUUCUAAACACAAAACAAAAAGCUUUUCGCUUAUUUAAGUGAGUCUGAUUAAAAUGUGCAUGUCUGUGUGGCGACUGAGACCAAACACACCUGUUGCUGCGAUGCUUUGACCGCGUUUCGCUUUUUGGCUUUUGGCAAGGAAAACGCUCAACGAAUAGGCAUUUUAAAGGAAAGGCAAUAAAUAUUGUGCGUCCGAAUGAAACUUCAAAUAUGAAUACAGGAGACCGUAAGGAGCAAGCCUCGUUAACACCGCAACAGCAACAAUCGCCGCAGCAGUCAGAGCAACAGCAACCAAUUACCCGACACGAUGCCUUGGAUAGUUCUAGUGCUAACAAUAAACUAAAUCAUAAACACAAUAACGAUAAGGAUAAGGAUACCACUAGCGAUAAGAGCUGGGAGGCGGGCAGAGAUUUAUUGCCGGCCAGUGUUGUCAUCGUCGAUGAAUCAUGUGCCUCGAAAAGUCAGAAACAACCAAUCGAGCCGAGCAUUGUUUCGCGAAGUGGAGCCACCUCCUCAUCGCAACGUCGCCGGCAAUUGCAAUUCCAGCGACAAAAGGAGGCCAAACUUUAUGACCGUGGAGAUGGGGAUCGGGACCGCGAACGGGAGCGGGAAGCCUCGACCUCGACCUCAACCUCGACCUCCGCCUCGACCACCACCACGAAUACUGUGAUGGGUGGCGGGGAGCUGGUGAACUGUAUAGCCUACGAUGACAACACCCUGGUCAUCGAGAGGAAACCCUCGCCCUCCUCCCCGUCCACCAGCCGGCGUUAUCUGAAGGCCGAAACGCCGACGCGUGGCAGUCGAAAGUACAACCGCAAGUCAUCGGCGAAAAGUGAUUUGGAAGUGGUCGUUGUCAAACCGGAACACCAUCAUCAGCAUCGAUCGCCGACGAUAACGCUUCCGGUUCCGGCUAACCCACUAACCACAUCGGCAUCGGCGGGAUCCUCGCCCACGGGAGCGGGAUUGGGAGCCGGAUUGGGAACUGCCUCGGGAACAGUCCUGCAACAAAGCUGCAGUGCACUUGAUCCGCCCGAGGAUCCGAAUCAGCCCAGCGGGACCAGGAGGCGACCCACCAGCACCGAGCUCGCCCUCAGCAACGUCACCAGUCAGAUUGUAAACAACGCCACCUACAAGCUAGACUUCAAGCAACGUCGUCACAAAAGCAACAACGGAGGCAGUGAGUCAGGAUCUCUAACCGGAAUAGCCACAGGACCGGCGACAAGUCCCGCAGCAGCAGGACCAACCAGUUCCAGCGGCAAGCGGCGCAAGUCCAGUUGCACAUCCUGCGGCGGAGGUGGCAUCAGUGCCCCGCCCCCGAGACUAACGCCCGAGGAGGCGUGGCAACUGCAACCGCAGAACAGUGUUACCAGUGCCGGCAGCACAAACAGUAGUUUCAGCAGCGGCGGCGGACGCGACGAUAAUAGUAGUUACAGUGCCGUCGGCGGCGACAGCAGCAGCAGCAAUAGUUGCAACUGCGAUAUCACCGGUGAUAACAGUACAUUGCAUGGUUUUGGCGUCGGCGACGUUUGUAGUUUUAUCGCCGAUUGUGACGACAAUAGCGAGGACGACGACGGCGAUCCGAAUAACCAGGAUCUCAGCUCGCAAACCCUGCGUACAGCGGCCAUCGUAGCGGCAGUUGCGGCUGCAGCCAAGGAACAGGCCCAGGAGCAAUCGCUCGCCGACUGCGAGAGCUUCAGCGAUCGGCGGCAGGAUGCCGAUGAGGACGUCCGCAUCAUCCAGGAUAGCUGCGGCGGCAACAACGACUCACUCGAAGACGUCGGCGAGGUGGACGACAACGCCGACGUUGUCGUGAGAAAGAACUCGAGGAAUCGUCCCUCGAUCAGAAGGACAUGCAGGAUAACCGAGGAGGACGACGACGAAGACGAGAACGCGGACUACGGUGAUUUCGAUCGGGAGGAUCAAGAGCUAGACGACGAGGAGCCCGAGGGCACCACCAUUGACAUUGAUGAGCAGGAACAGCAGCACGACCAAGGGGAUUCCGCUGAAGAGGAAGACGACGACGAGGACGUCGACGAGUACUUUGAGGAGGAGGAGGACGACACGCAGGCCUUUUCGCCAUUCUACUCCAGUUCCGCGGAGCUAAUUGAUAAUUUUGGUGGCGGUGCGGGCAAGUUCUUCAACAUUAUGGACUUCGAGCGUGGAGCCUCCGGCGGGGGAGGCUUUUCGCCAAACGGCAACGGUGGUCCCGGCAGCGGAGAUGUUUCCCGGACGGCGAGAUACGACUCCGGGGAGGGGGAUCUGGGCGGUGGCAACAAUAUCAUGGGCAUCGAUUCUAUGGGCAUUGCAAACAUUCCGGAAACCAUGAACGGCACCACAAUUGGACCAAGUGGAGCUGGUGGCCAAAAAGGUGGAGCUGCUGCAGGUGCCGCCGGCCAAAAGCGACAACAGCGCCGUGGAAAACCGCAACCAGACAGACCACAACGAGCAUUGUUUUGCCUGAGCGUCAAGAAUCCUCUGCGAGCCUUGUGCAUUCGCAUCGUGGAGUGGAAACCAUUUGAGUUCCUUAUUUUGUUAACCAUUUUUGCCAACUGUAUUGCCUUGGCUGUUUACACCCCUUAUCCGGGCAGCGAUUCAAACGUGACGAAUCAAACCUUGGAAAAAGUUGAAUAUGUAUUCCUAGUUAUAUUCACAGCGGAAUGUGUUAUGAAAAUUUUAGCAUAUGGUUUUGUGUUACAUAAUGGUGCAUAUCUAAGAAAUGGAUGGAAUUUAUUAGAUUUUACAAUUGUAGUUAUAGGGGCGAUAAGUACUGCACUCUCCCAAUUGAUGAAGGACGCCUUUGAUGUGAAGGCCCUACGUGCCUUUCGAGUGCUACGUCCACUGCGGCUUGUAUCGGGUGUACCAAGUCUACAGGUUGUGCUGAAUUCAAUUUUAAAGGCCAUGGUGCCACUGUUUCACAUUGCACUCCUGGUCCUAUUCGUAAUCAUAAUCUAUGCGAUCAUUGGCCUAGAGCUCUUCUCUGGCAAAUUGCACAAGGCGUGUCGCGAUGAGAUCACAGGUGAAUACGAAGAAAACAUCCGGCCCUGCGGAGUGGGUUACCAGUGUCCACCGGGCUACAAGUGCUACGGCGGAUGGGAUGGACCAAACGACGGCAUCACCAACUUCGACAACUUUGGCCUGGCCAUGUUGACGGUGUUCCAGUGCGUCACCCUUGAGGGCUGGACUGAUGUCCUAUAUAGCAUCCAAGAUGCAAUGGGCAGCGAUUGGCAGUGGAUGUACUUCAUUUCCAUGGUUAUCCUGGGUGCCUUCUUCGUGAUGAAUCUGAUUCUCGGUGUGUUGUCCGGUGAGUUCUCCAAGGAGCGUAACAAGGCCAAGAACCGCGGCGACUUCCAGAAGCUGCGCGAGAAGCAGCAGAUCGAAGAGGAUCUGCGGGGCUAUCUCGAUUGGAUUACCCAAGCCGAGGACAUUGAACCAGACGCCGUGGGAGGUCUGAUAUCCGAUGGCAAGGGCAAGCAGCCCAACGAAAUGGAUUCCACCGAGAACCUGGGCGAAGAAAUGCCCGAGGUCCAAAUGACUGAAUCACGAUGGCGCAAAAUGAAGAAGGACUUCGAUCGAGUCAAUCGCCGAAUGCGAAGGGCCUGUCGCAAGGCAGUCAAGUCCCAGGCCUUCUACUGGCUCAUCAUCGUUUUGGUGUUUCUCAACACAGGUGUCUUGGCCACGGAGCAUUAUGGCCAGCUUGAUUGGCUGGAUAAUUUCCAGGAGUACACCAACGUGUUCUUCAUCGGUCUGUUCACCUGCGAAAUGUUGUUGAAGAUGUACAGCUUGGGCUUUCAGGGCUACUUCGUUUCGCUGUUCAAUCGUUUUGAUUGUUUUGUGGUGAUUGGCAGCAUUACGGAAACCCUGUUAACGAACACGGGAAUGAUGCCUCCAUUGGGUGUCUCCGUGCUGCGUUGUGUACGCCUCCUGAGAGUCUUUAAAGUAACUAAGUACUGGCGGUCUCUCUCAAAUCUCGUCGCUUCCCUAUUGAACUCUAUACAAUCGAUUGCUUCACUUUUGUUACUGCUCUUCCUAUUUAUUGUGAUAUUUGCUCUGCUGGGCAUGCAAGUUUUUGGCGGUAAAUUUAAUUUUGAUGGAAAAGAGGAGAAGUAUCGAAUGAACUUCGACUGCUUCUGGCAGGCUCUACUCACAGUGUUUCAGAUCAUGACUGGUGAGGAUUGGAAUGCUGUGAUGUAUGUGGGCAUCAAUGCCUAUGGCGGUGUUUCCUCCUAUGGUGCCUUGGCCUGUAUUUACUUUAUUAUUUUGUUCAUAUGCGGUAACUACAUCCUGCUAAACGUGUUCUUGGCCAUUGCUGUGGAUAAUUUGGCCGAUGCCGACUCGCUCUCUGAGGUCGAAAAAGAAGAGGAACCUCACGAUGAAUCUGCUCAGAAGAAGUCUCAUAGUCCGACUCCAACAAUUGAUGGCAUGGAUGAUCACCUCAGCAUAGAUAUCGAUAUGGAGCAACAGGAACUAGAUGAUGAAGACAAGAUGGACCAUGAAACAUUAUCAGACGAGGAAGUCCGUGAAAUGUGCGAGGAGGAAGAGGAAGUGGAUGAAGAAGGCAUGAUUACAGCACGACCCCGACGUAUGUCUGAGGUUAAUACGGCAACGAAAAUUCUACCCAUACCGCCGGGCACAUCAUUUUUUCUUUUCUCACAAACGAACAGAUUUCGCGUCUUCUGCCACUGGCUUUGCAAUCACAGCAAUUUCGGCAACAUUAUCCUGUGUUGCAUUAUGUUUUCAUCGGCUAUGUUGGCAGCAGAGAAUCCUCUGAAAGCCAAUGAUGACCUGAAUAAAGUGCUCAAUAAAUUUGAUUAUUUUUUCACGGCAGUUUUCACAAUAGAACUGAUUCUGAAAUUGAUUUCAUACGGCUUCGUAUUACACGACGGAGCCUUUUGCAGAUCCGCAUUUAAUCUAUUAGAUUUACUUGUGGUCUGCGUGUCAUUGAUAUCUCUAGUGUCCAGUUCGAAUGCGAUUUCAGUCGUGAAAAUUCUACGUGUGCUCCGUGUUUUAAGGCCACUCAGAGCCAUUAAUCGUGCCAAGGGACUGAAGCAUGUUGUUCAAUGUGUCAUAGUCGCUGUUAAGACUAUCGGAAAUAUUGUGCUCGUCACAUGCCUACUGCAGUUCAUGUUUGCCGUAAUAGGAGUCCAAUUGUUUAAGGGCAAGUUUUUCAAGUGCACUGAUGGUUCCAAAAUGACUCAAGAUGAAUGCUACGGAACCUAUUUGGUCUAUGAUGAUGGCGAUGUUCAUAAGCCGCGACUCAGGGAACGGGAAUGGAGUAACAAUCGCUUCCAUUUCGAUGAUGUGGCCAAGGGCAUGUUGACAUUAUUCACGGUGUCCACCUUUGAGGGUUGGCCAGGUUUGCUGUAUGUUUCAAUUGAUUCGAAUAAGGAAAACGGCGGUCCAAUACACAACUUCCGUCCGAUCGUAGCUGCCUACUAUAUAAUCUACAUUAUUAUUAUUGCCUUCUUCAUGGUGAACAUAUUCGUCGGUUUCGUUAUCGUCACUUUCCAAAAUGAGGGUGAACAGGAAUAUAAGAAUUGUGAUCUGGAUAAAAAUCAGCGCAAUUGCAUAGAGUUUGCCUUGAAAGCGAAACCCGUUAGACGCUAUAUACCCAAGCAUGGUAUACAAUAUAAGGUCUGGUGGUUCGUCACGUCGUCAUCCUUCGAAUACACAAUAUUCAUACUGAUCAUGAUAAACACGGUAACACUGGCUAUGAAGUUUUAUAAUCAGCCGUUGUGGUACACGGAACUUUUAGAUGCUUUGAAUAUGAUAUUUACGGCGGUGUUUGCUUUGGAAUUUGUUUUUAAAUUAGCCGCGUUUCGAUUUAAGAACUACUUUGGAGAUGCCUGGAACGUCUUCGAUUUUAUCAUCGUUUUAGGCAGUUUCAUUGACAUUGUCUACUCUGAAAUUAAGAGCAAGGAUACCUCUCAGAUAGCAGAAUGCGACAUUGUAGAGGGCUGCAAAUCCACCAAGAAAUCAGCUGGUUCAAAUUUAAUAUCCAUCAAUUUCUUCCGACUGUUCCGAGUGAUGCGACUCGUCAAGCUUCUCAGCAAAGGCGAAGGCAUUCGAACAUUACUGUGGACUUUUAUUAAAUCCUUCCAAGCACUUCCAUAUGUAGCCCUGCUAAUUGUGCUUCUAUUUUUCAUUUAUGCGGUUGUGGGGAUGCAGGUGUUCGGCAAAAUUGCUCUAGAUGGAAACAACGCCAUCACGGCCAAUAACAAUUUCCAAACGUUCCAGCAGGCUGUUUUAGUACUCUUCCGAUCGGCCACCGGAGAAGCUUGGCAGGAAAUUAUGAUGUCCUGCUCGGCGCAACCGGAUGUGAAGUGCGAUAUGAAUUCAGAUACGCCGGGAGAACCAUGCGGUUCCUCAAUAGCCUAUCCCUACUUUAUUUCCUUCUAUGUUCUCUGCUCGUUUUUGAUCAUUAAUCUUUUCGUGGCCGUCAUUAUGGACAACUUUGACUAUCUGACUCGGGAUUGGUCCAUUUUGGGUCCCCAUCACCUGGACGAGUUUAUUCGUCUUUGGAGCGAGUACGAUCCGGACGCCAAGGGGCGCAUCAAACACUUGGAUGUGGUCACAUUGCUGAGAAAGAUCUCCCCACCACUUGGCUUCGGCAAACUGUGUCCACAUAGAAUGGCCUGCAAGCGACUGGUUUCCAUGAACAUGCCCCUCAACUCAGAUGGAACGGUUCUCUUCAAUGCCACACUGUUUGCGGUGGUCCGCACUUCGCUGAGCAUCAAAACUGACGGUAACAUCGAUGAUGCCAACUCCGAGCUGCGCGCCACGAUCAAGCAGAUCUGGAAGCGGACCAAUCCAAAGCUUCUGGAUCAGGUGGUACCACCGCCGGGCAACGAUGACGAGGUGACCGUCGGCAAGUUCUACGCCACAUAUCUAAUUCAGGACUACUUCCGGCGCUUCAAGAAGCGCAAGGAACAGGAGGGCAAGGAGGGUCAUCCGGACAGCAAUACAGUCACGCUGCAGGCCGGUUUGCGAACCCUACACGAAGUGUCUCCAGCUCUCAAGAGAGCCAUCUCGGGCAAUCUCGACGAGUUGGACCAGGAGCCGGAGCCCAUGCAUCGCCGCCACCAUACGCUUUUUGGCAGCGUGUGGUCAUCGAUCCGCCGACAUGGAAACGGAACCUUCAGGCGAAGUGCCAAGGCAACUGCUUCGCAAAGCAACGGAGCCUUGGCGAUCGGUGGAUCCGCAUCCGCGGCCUUGGGCGUGGGCGGUAGCUCGCUGGUCCUGGGGAGCGUCGAUCCCGCUGGCGGGGAUUAUCUGUACGACACCUUGAACCGCAGCGUAGCCGACGGAGUGAACAAUAUAACGCGGAACAUAAUGCAGGCACGCUUGGCGGCAGCCGGAAAGCUGCAGGACGAACUGCAGGGGGCUGGGAGUGGCGGAGAGCUAAGGACGUUCGGCGAGAGCAUAUCCAUGCGACCGCUGGCCAAAAAUGGAGGCGGAGCGGCCACUGUGGCCGGAACACUGCCGCCUGAGGCGAAUGCCAUUAACUAUGAUCUACGCACCCAAUGGUGCUCUUCCUGGCCACGAACGCAUGAUCCAAUCGACACCAGCUAGUCCCUACGAUCAGCGUCGUUUACCAACUUCAUCUGAUAUGAACGGCCUAGCCGAAUCAUUGAUUGGAGGGGUACUCGCCGCUGAGGGAUUGGGUAAAUACUGCGACUCCGAGUUCGUGGGGACUGCUGCACGGGAGAUGCGCGAGGCGCUGGACAUGACGCCC
rnacentral:misc_RNA from 1 species